AGUGGCGGACGGGUGAGUAACGCGUAGGAAUCUGUCCAUUAGUCUGGGACAACACGGGGAAACUCGUGCUAAUACCGGAUACGCUCUAUUGAGGAAAGGCGGGAGCUUGCUCCUGUCACUAAUGGGUGAGCCUGCGUUGGAUUAGCUUGUUGGUGGGGUAAAGGCCUACCAAGGCGGUGAUCCAUAGCUGUUCUGAGAGGAAGAUCAGCCACACUGGGACUGAGACACGGCCCAGACUCCUACGGGAGGCAGCAGUGGGGAAUAUUGGACAAUGGGGGCAACCCUGAUCCAGCAAUACCGCGUGUGUGAAGAAGGCCUGAGGGUUGUAAAGCACUUUCAGCGAGGAGGAAGGCUAUAAGGUUAAUACCCUUAUAGAUUGACGUUACUCGCAGAAGAAGCACCGGCUAACUCUGUGCCAGCAGCCGCGGUAAUACAGAGGGUGCAAGCGUUAAUCGGAAUUACUGGGCGUAAAGCGUGCGUAGGCGGAAUAAUAAGUCAGAUGUGAAAGCCCCGGGCUCAACCUGGGAACUGCAUCUGAUACUGUUAAUCUAGAGUAUGGCAGAGGAUAGUGGAAUUUCUAGUGUAGCGGUGAAAUGCGUAGAUAUUAGAAGGAACACCAGUGGCGAAGGCGACUGUCUGGGCCGAUACUGACGCUGAGGUACGAAAGCGUGGGUAGCGAACAGGAUUAGAUACCCUGGUAGUCCACGCCGUANACGAUGAGGACUAGCUGUUGGUCAUAUUAAAAUGAUUGGUAGCGAAGCAAACGCGAUAAGUUCUCCGCCUGGGGAGUAC
rnacentral:rRNA from 1 species